UUUCAAUGUUCCUUUCUGGGCGCGAAGUCAGGGAAAUAAUCGCAAGGAUGGAGAACAUUCAACAGAAUCAGUAUGCAAUCAAGCAUGGAAUGGAUUCCAGAUAGGAAUAUAGGAUUCACCUUACACUCAGAAACUGGGGGAUAGGCCUAGUUGUUCAAAAUACACGGCGUUGCUGCAUGGACUUGAAGAGAUAGUUAUGAAUUUAGAAUAUCAUCAAGUGACUUUUAAUAAGGCACUGUUUUCAGUGGAUGAACCGACAUCAUGCAGUGUGACAGGAAAACGCCCGUGAGACCAAAGAUGGCUUAGAUAAAAGGGAAGACGAUGCAGAAGGUGCAUAUAUACAAGUUCAAGACAUAGAUAUUUUAAAUUUUGCAUGAUGUUCAUUUAUAAAACCUGUUAUGCAACCUCUCAAAUAAUUCAUUAUGCUAUCUUUUAAGCCUCUGUACCAGAGAAAAAUCCAGAGAUGGCCCUCAAAGAAGUUAGAAACAAGAUGAGAGACCGUCUCAAGUUGUUUAGGUCUGGAGCAGUGACCUUCCCCCACCCACGAGUCGAAGAAAUAGAUCUUUGAACCAGGUUACCCGUGACAUCAAGAUAAACAAAAUUCAACUUCAGGGACAAUUUGAUAAUACCUGUUUAAAAAUUUUUUUUUAGCUCACCUGGGCCGAAGGUUCAAGUGAGCUUUUCUGAUC